rnacentral:rRNA from 1 species
GACGAACGCUGGCGGCGUGCCUAAUACAUGCAAGUCGAGCGAAGUUUUUCUGGUGCUUGCACCGGAAAAACUUAGCGGCGAACGGGUGAGUAACACGUAAAGAACCUGCCUCAUAGACUGGGACAACUAUUGGAAACGAUAGCUAAUACCGGAUAACAGCAUUAACUGCAUGGUUGAUGUUUAAAAGUUGGUUUUGCUAACACUAUGAGAUGGCUUUGCGGUGCAUUAGCUAGUUGGUGGGGUAAAGGCCUACCAAGGCGACGAUGCAUAGCCGACCUGAGAGGGUGAUCGGCCACACUGGGACUGAGACACGGCCCAGACUCCUACGGGAGGCAGCAGUAGGGAAUCUUCCGCAAUGGGCGAAAGCCUGACGGAGCAACGCCGCGUGAGUGAAGAAGGAUUUCGGUUCGUAAAGCUCUGUUGUUAGGGAAGAAUGAUUGUGUAGUAACUAUACACAGGAGAGACGGUACCUAACCAGAAAGCC